AGUUGCACAGUUGUGCCAAAACUAACUUUUAUUGUUUAUUGAAAUUCACCAUAUCUUCCAAGCAUGGCGUUCUGGCACCUCGUUUAAUUCCUUAGGAUGCGCAGCAGCAUUUACCCUCUUCACAAUAGCUGUUGUCGAAACUGUAGCCAGACCAUUCACAUGAAACCUUACACAAGGUAACAUUGUAUCCUAUCGGGUUCUCGCAUAACCGGUCAUGUUUGCACACAUCAAUCAAUGCAGUUGUACCUACGCCCAAAGAAGUCCCAUUUCGGAUUAGUAAUCUAGUAUAAAUUACACAUGUUACUCAAGAAUGUCUCAAAACCUAAAGUCUAUGUAUAUUAGUACAAAAUUUGUCUGGUCUAAACAAAUGAGUGUACCUUUGUUUCUCCCAGUUGCCUCGCAUGGCAACAAAGUGGUAGACAUCAUAAGAAUUACCAAACACAGGGCAUUUGUGUUUUUCUUGGUAAGUGCCAUCAGAAGUGUG
rnacentral:lncRNA from 1 species